rnacentral:rRNA from 1 species
GCGUAACAAGGUCUCUGUAGGUGAACGUGCGGAGGGAUCAUUACAAGUGACCCCGGUCUAACCACCGGGAUGUUCAUAACCCUUUGUUGUCCGACUCUGUUGCCUCCGGGGCGACCCUGCCUUCGGGCGGGGGCUCCGGGUGGACACUUCAAACUCUUGCGUAACUUUGCAGUCUGAGUAAACUUAAUUAAUAAAUUAAAACUUUUAACAACGGAUCUCUUGGUUCUGGCAUCGAUGAAGAACGCAGCGAAAUGCGAUAAGUAAUGUGAAUUGCAGAAUUCAGUGAAUCAUCGAAUCUUUGAACGCACAUUGCGCCCCCUGGUAUUCCGGGGGGCAUGCCUGUUCGAGCGUCAUUUCACCACUCAAGCCUCGCUUGGUAUUGGGCAACGCGGUCCGCCGCGUGCCUCAAAUCGACCGGCUGGGUCUUCUGUCCCCUAAGCGUUGUGGAAACUAUUCGCUAAAGGGUGCUCGGGAGGCUACGCCGUAAAACAAACCCAUUUCUAAGGUUGACCUCGGAUCAGGUAGGGAUACCCGCUGAA